GACGAACGCUGGCGGCGUGCCUAAUACAUGCAAGUCGAACGCUUCUUUCCUCCCGAGUGCUUGCACUCAAUUGGAAAGAGGAGUGGCGGACGGGUGAGUAACACGUGGGUAACCUACCCAUCAGAGGGGGAUAACACUUGGAAACAGGUGCUAAUACCGCAUAACAGUUUAUGCCGCAUGGCAUAAGAGUGAAAGGCGCUUUCGGGUGUCGCUGAUGGAUGGACCCGCGGUGCAUUAGCUAGUUGGUGAGGUAACGGCUCACCAAGGCCACGAUGCAUAGCGGCCCAGGGGGGGGGAUGGCCCACACUGGGCAUGAGAAGCGGCCAAGACUCCAAGGGGGGGCAGCAGGGGGAAAUUUUCGGCAAGGGACGAAAUUUUGACCGAGCAACGCCGGGGGGGUGAAGAAGUUUUUCGGAUCGAAAAACUUUUUUGUUAGAGAAAAACAAGGACGUUAGUAAAUGAACGUCCCCUGACGGUAUUUAACCAGAAAGCCCCGGCUAACUCCGU
rnacentral:rRNA from 1 species